GGAGUUGUAGCUCAGCUGGUUAGAGUGCCUGCCUGUCACGCAGGAUGUCGCGGGUUCGAGUCCCGUCAACUCCG
rnacentral:tRNA from 2 species